rnacentral:rRNA from 1 species
GAUGAACGCUGGCGGCGUGCCUAAUACAUGCAAGUCGAGCGAACAGACGAGGAGCUUGCUCCUCUGACGUUAGCGGCGGACGGGUGAGUAACACGUGGAUAACCUACCUAUAAGACUGGGAUAACUUCGGGAAACCGGAGCUAAUACCGGAUAAUAUAUUGAACCGCAUGGUUCAAUAGUGAAAGACGGUUUUGCUGUCACUUAUAGAUUGAUCCGCGCCGCAUUAGCUAGUUGGUAAGGUAACGGCUUACCAAGGCGACGAUGCGUAGCCGACCUGAGAGGGUGAUCGGACACACUGGAACUGAGAAACGGUACAGACUCCUACGGGAGGCAGCAGUAGGGAAUCUUCCGCAAUGGGCGAAAGCCUGACGGAGCAACGCCGCGUGAGUGAUGAAGGUCUUCGGAUCGUAAAACUCUGUUAUUAGGGAAGAACAAAUGUGUAAGUAACUAUGCACGUCUUGACGGUACCUAAUCAGAAAGCCACGGCUAACUACGUG